AUGGCUUGGGAAACUGAUAAAAUAUUGUCUUCAAACUUUCCUUUUUGUAGUGCCUGCAUUGGCCCAAAAUUCAACUCUUAUUUCAGUUUUCUACCUCACUGCAAUACCUUCUGGAUAUCUUUACAAUGUCAACAUCCAAUUUCACAGCCUCAAUGGAACUUGGCCAAUUCUACUUGAUUUAGGAAGAGAAUAAGACAGUAUUUACCUAGGCUCUCACUCUGUCAUCCAGGCUGCAAUUCCAGUGGUAUGAUCAGGGCUCACUGCAGCCUCCACUUCCUAGACUCAAGUGAUCCUCCCACCUCAGCCUCUUGGGUAACUGAACUGGAACUACAGGUACAUGCCACCACACCUGGCUAACUUUAAUUUUUUUUUUUUUUUUACUUUCAACAUUUAUUUUAGAUUCAGGGAGUAUAUGUGCAUGAUGCUGAGGUUUGGCAUGCAAAUGAUCCCAUUGCCCAGGUAGUGAGCAUGGUACCCAACAGUUAGUUUUCCAGUCCUUACCCCCUACUCUUCCUCCUGCUUCUAGUAGUCCCCAGUGUCUCUUGCUGCCAUUUUUAUGUCCAAGAGUAUCCAAUAUUUAGCUCCCACUUAGAAGUAACAACAUGUGUUGUUUGAUUUCAUGUUCUGGAAUUAAUUUGCUUACGAUAAUGGCCUCCAGCUGCAUCCAUGUUGCUGCAAAAGAUAUGAUUUUUUUUUCUUUUUUUAAGGCUACAUAGUAUUCCAUGGUAUAUACAUACCACAUUUUAUUUAUCCAGUUCACUACUGGUAGGCAUCUAGGUUGAUUCCUUGUCUUUGCAAUUGUGAAUAGUGCUGUGAUAAACAUAGGAAUGCAUGUAUCUUUUUGGUAAGAUAAUUUAUUUUCUUUUAGGUAUA
rnacentral:lncRNA from 1 species